GAUGAACGCUGGCGGCGUGCCUAAUACAUGCAAGUCGAGCGAACAGACGAGGAGCUUGCUCCUCUGACGUUAGCGGCGGACGGGUGAGUAACACGUGGAUAACCUACCUAUAAGACUGGGAUAACUUCGGGAAACCGGAGCUAAUACCGGAUAAUAUAUUGAACCGCAUGGUUCAAUAGUGAAAGACGGUUUUGCUGUCACUUAUAGAUGGAUCCGCGCCGCAUUAGCUAGUUGGUAAGGUAACGGCUUACCAAGGCGACGAUGCGUAGCCGACCUGAGAGGGUGAACGGCCACACUGGAACUGAGACACGGUCCAGACUCCUACGGGAGGCAGCAGUAGGGAAUCUUCCGCAAUGGGCGAAAGCCUGACGGAGCAACGCCGCGUGAGUGAUGAAGGUCUUCGGAUCGUAAAACUCUGUUAUUAGGGAAGAACAAAUGUGUAAGUAACUAUGCACGUCUUGACGGUACCUAAUCAGAAAGUCACGGCUAACUACGUG
rnacentral:rRNA from 1 species